UACAGAGGUCCCAAGCGUUGUUCGGAUUCACUGGGCGUAAAGGGUGCGUAGGUGGUGGGGUAAGUCUGAUGUGAAAUCUCCGAGCUUAACUCGGAAAUGGCAUUGGAAACUACCUUGCUAGAGGUUUGGAGGGGAGACUGGAAUUCUUGGUGUAGCAGUGAAAUGCGUAGAUAUCAAGAGGAACACCGGUGGCGAAAGCGGUUCUCUGGGCCGAUACUGACGCUGAGGAGCGAAAGCGUGGGGAGCGAACAGG
rnacentral:rRNA from 1 species